CAUCAUUGUGGUUUAUGGCCUCUGUUGUUUUCCUUUUCCUUUACAGGUACACCAGGCAAGUUCUCCUAAUGCCUGGCCCUCGGGGAAGCUUAUAGAGUGAGGCAAUUUGGAAAACCCUGUUUUGGAACUGAGUUGCUCCUCAAUAGCUCCCCAUGGAAGAAGGAUUCCUAGUACUGUACAUCACUGGCACACAACUUGGUCUGGAGUGAGGACUGUGGCUUCCUUCUUGAGGCACUCUGACCCAGGAGAUUCACAGACUGGAGCACCAGUUAGGAGAAGACCGAUUUUGGUGGAAAGUGGGUCAGAAGAGCAUGUGCAACUCAAGGAUUGCUGAGGAUGAACAAGUGCAUAGGGUAAAGUUGCUUCAUCAUGAAAGGUAGGUUGUGUGGUACCUCCACUCUCCUUGAUUCUACCUUGGAAACACUGGCUACUACUUCAUAAA
rnacentral:lncRNA from 1 species